ACCGAGGAGCGAACGGAGGAAAGGUCAGCGCAGGAAGAAAAUCUGGGAGCAGCAGACUUUCUGGGAUUUUUGCUUCACAUUCAGGGAGGAAAAGGAAAACAGAGAGGAGCUGAAACCUUUUAAACUUAACAACAAACAGCGAGGGACAGAACGAGAAGUGGAGAACCACAGACAACAGAAGCCCUCCCCUUUGGUCCGUGAGGUAACCCGAUCCCUCUCUGUUGCCGACCCCCUCCGACAAGGCCAGAUCCGGGUGGACUGGACACAAAGGCCCAGGUAUCUCGUGUCCGAACAGAGCCCGUCACAACAACAAGACAAACGCCAACAGCGCAGACCGUUCUCCACUCCCUUUUGUCUUCGCAAGAGCCUCACGUGAGUUUGCUAGUAGUACUUCAUCGUCCCUCUUCGAUGAUCAGUCAGAGUCAUAGUCAUGUUAUAAUUUUUUCAUGAAACUCCUAAUACGACAUCACGAGGUCGUGUUCGUCAGAGUGACGAUUCGUGACCUGGAGCUAUAAUAUUGUGUUAUCUCUUUUAGAUCCCCACGAACGUAGAACCCUUUAGCUCUAAGGCCAGUGUUUGUAUUGGUAAAGGACUCUUGGGGAAUAUCACCAGCUUUCUCCCCAUAAAACACCUGUUAUCUCUACUCGCUGGGCAGACAGAAGCGCGUCGAGUGACGUACAGUGAAUCAUCGAGCCUUAAGCCCUAUCGGACCUACAAUCUCCCACAGACAAAUCGGGACACGAUGGCGUCGAUAAUUCGCGCGCGUCCGCACUCAGCCGCGAUUUGAUACCUCUAUCCUCAUUCGGUAUUGACGACAAUAAUACCCCCACAGCGAAUUGAACUCUGAACUCCCUCGUCCAUUUUCAACGAUAUAAAACGAACAAAAACAAAGAAGC